rnacentral:tRNA from 1 species
GAGGGUAUAGCUUAGGCGGCAGGGCAACGGUCUUCAAAACCGUGGAUGUGGGCUCAGUUCCUAUUGUGCUCG